UUUACGAAACUUUGUGUACCUAUCUUAUUUUGAAUUUUCAUUUUUCACUCUUGCUUCAAGCUUGUUUUCUGUUUAGUAAACUGUGAACAUAAAUGUUUACAAAAUAAAUUAAAUAGGUUCCUCUAUAUGUACAAUUUUUGAAAAUGACCUCUCAGUUUGCUCUGCAGUGGAAUUCAUAUACAAAUAACGUAUGUGAGGGAUUUUGCUCUUUGCAGAAAAAUGGUGAGUUCGUAGACAUGACUUUAGCAGCGGACGGUCACUUCGUAAAAGUCCACCAAUUGUUAGUUGCAUUAUCAAGCCCCUACCUAAAAUCACUAAUAUCUUCAGCACCCUGUCAACAUCCAGUAAUAUUUCUCAAUAAUGUGUCAAAUUCAACCUUAAUGUUACUCUUGGAGUACAUUUACACAGGGGAAGUGUUAGUUCCUCCAGACAGCCUAUCACAAUUUAUAGAAGCUGCAAAAUCACUUCAUGUCAAAGGACUAGAAAAUAUUGAUGGAAGUAGUGGCAUGAUAAAACAACCCAGUGUGGCUAAUAGUAGUAUAAAUAAUGUAUUACCUGAUAGCAAUGACAGAGUAUUACAAAGUAAUGUUCAUAAACAGGCAUGCGAAAAGGAAUAUAAUACAAAAGAUGUUUCAGCUGAUUGUAAUAUAACAUCCUCUACUAAUAGCUGACCCGACAGACGCUGUUAUGUCAAUAGAAAAAGAAAUAUUAUAAAUGACUCCUGUAUUACGAUAGAGAAUGAGGAGGAUGUAGACAUGCCGGUGACAGAUUUAGAUGAUGAUGUCGGUGAUGAAGCAAUUGUAAAAGAUGAAUUAAAAACAUCAAAACUUCAAUACACUGUGUCAAUCCGAGGUUAUAUCCAAGUUAUAUUAAAUCGCUACAUCUACAACCUGCAGUCGAAGAAUAGCUCCAGACUUAAACGAUGGCGCUGUGUUAACUAUCAACGUCAAAGAUGUUUGGCUGGAUUGGUGACAGAUGGAAACACUGUUGUCAAAAGAAUCAAUCCGCACUGCCACUCGUUCCAUGACAAGAAGAUUAUAUCAAAGAUUAAAAACAAUACCGUGUACGAGACGCUGGUGGAUGUUGAAACACAUCAAAGACUAAAUCAAAGGAAAUUAUUAGAGAAAAAUCAUCUUCCAAUAAAUAAUGAUUGAUGAACAAUUAAAAAAAACUAUUAUUUUGUUAAUUAAAUGUAUUAUUUUUAUAUUUAA